AAGUUGGCAUCUCUCCUACUUCCCUUAGGAAUCUUCAUAGUUUAGGGGGUUUGGAUUUGAUUCAAACUAGAAGGGUCCUAUUCCUAAUCUGUGAAGGUAUUUGAUUUGAUCUAGGACUUCUUAUCUAUUUAAGGAGAGAUGUGGAGAAGAGAGAAAUCAAUCAAGCAUUGAUCUAGGCGUGUCCCCUUUGGUGUACCCCUCUCUUGGGUGUCACUUUCUCUUGGGCAUUCUCUCUCUCCCUUAGUGGGAGGCCCACCUUGCCGUUAACUCUAGUGUUCUGAUACCGGAUAAUUUCUUGCACCAACAGAUUGGUGCUAGAGGAAGGGCUUGAUCUAUUUGGAGGAGUGUAGUCGAGAGCAUACAUCAUGCCACCAAAGAGAGUCUCUUUCCGUCACACUAACGCCACUGCCUCCCGAUCGACGGAGAGCCAGGCCAACAACCAGGUACAACCAUCGAUGAUGGAAACUCCUCCACCAGUCCAGUUAGUGCUAGUCACAGUGGACUAGUUCAACCUGCUCUUCCAGUAGGUUUAGACUUUGAUGGCCAUUGUCCAGGCGAUCCAAACCAUCCUUAUGCCUCCAUCAACAGCACCGCAGCCUGAUCAGGCUAUCCCUGCACCUCCUUGGGUGAUGCCACUAGUACCUCCCUCGGCGACAUCACCAGCACCUCCUACGGUGGCGCCACUACCAAAGCUACUCCACAAUCGUUGCCACAAUUAGAACAGCCACGGGCACCUUCAUAGAGUCUAGAGAGGAUGCAGACCCACCAGAGGCAUUUCAAAACCCAAGAACCUGUAAGGCAGCAAUCUUCGAGUCCCCAAUCGAGCAUGAUUCAACCCUUGGUCGUUGAUCUCCCCAACAGUCCGAAGCCUGCAUCGCCCGAGAUCUUGCCAUCGAGAGGUGGCUUCGAAAGAUCGAUAAGUGGAUCGAUGCGAUCUGCAACACCUCCUCGGUGCCAUAUGACGGGUUUAAUAGUAACCUACCCUUCGCUCCAAAGAUUAUGCAGGAGCCACUCCCUUAGCACUUCAAGAUGUCUUAAUUUGAGAUCUACAAC
rnacentral:lncRNA from 1 species